AAGUCGAACGAAGUAGCAAUACUUAGUGGCAGACGGGUGAGUAACAUGUGGGUAUCUACCCUUUGGCCUGGAAUAACACGAGGAAACUUGUGCUAAUACUGGAUAAGUCUUUACGGAGAAAGCUUUAUGCACCAUUGGAUGAGCCCGCACUUGAUUAGUUUGUUGGUGGGGUAAUGGCCUACCAAGACUAUGAUCAAUAGCUGAUUUGAGAGGAUGAUCAGCCACAUUGGGACUGAGACACGGCCCAAACUCCUACGGGAGGCAGCAGUGGGGAAUCUUGCACAAUGGAGGAAACUCUGAUGCAGCGAUGCCGCGUGAGUGAAGAAGGCCCUUGGGUUGUAAAGCUCUUUCGUCGGGGAAGAAAAUGACUGUACCCGAAUAAGAAGGUCCGGCUAACUUCGUGCCAGCAGCCGCGGUAAUACGAAGGGACCUAGCGUAGUUCGGAAUUACUGGGCUUAAGAGUUCGUAGGUGGUUGAAAAAGUUGGUGGUGAAAUCCCAGAGCUUAACUCUGGAACUGCCAUCAAAACUUUUCAGCUAGAGUUUGAUAGAGGGAAAAGCAAAAUUUCUAG
rnacentral:rRNA from 1 species